AUUGAACGCUGGCGGCAGGCCUAACACAUGCAAGUCGAGCGGAUGAAGGGAGCUUGCUCCUGGAUUCAGCGGCGGACGGGUGAGUAAUGCCUAGGAAUCUGCCUGGUAGUGGGGGAUAACGUCCGGAAACGGGCGCUAAUACCGCAUACGUCCUGAGGGAGAAAGUGGGGGAUCUUCGGACCUCACGCUAUCAGAUGAGCCUAGGUCGGAUUAGCUAGUUGGUGGGGUAAAGGCCUACCAAGGCGACGAUCCGUAACUGGUCUGAGAGGAUGAUCAGUCACACUGGAACUGAGACACGGUCCAGACUCCUACGGGAGGCAGCAGUGGGGAAUAUUGGACAAAGGGCGAAAGCCUGAUCCAGCCAGGCCGCGUGUGUGAAGAAGGUCUUCGGAUUGUAAAGCACUUUAAGUUGGGAGGAAGGGCAGUAAGUUAAUACCUUGCUGUUUUGACGUUACCAACAGAAUAAGCACCGGCUAACUUCGUG
rnacentral:rRNA from 1 species